GUUAAUUAUUUUUUUUUCUCUUUUCUUUCAAAUAAAUUGAGUCUGUAACCACAGAGAUAAAAUUGUUUCCCUCAGGUCAAUAAAUCAACACCAAAAAAACAACCAAACAAAAAUCCAUUUUUC
rnacentral:ribozyme from 13 species